rnacentral:rRNA from 1 species
UAGGGAAUCUUCGGCAAUGGGGGGAACCCUGACCGAGCAACGCCGCGUGAGUGAAGAAGGUUUUCGGAUCGUAAAGCUCUGUUGUUAAGGAAGAACGAGUGUGAGAAUGGAAAGUUCAUGCUGUGACGGUACUUAACCAGAAAGGGACGUCUAACUACGUGCCAGCAGCCGCGGUAAUACGUAGGUCCCGAGCGUUGUCCGGAUUUAUUGGGCGUAAAGCGAGCGCAGGCGGUCAAUUAAGUCUGAUGUGAAAGCCCCCGGCUCAACCGGGGAGGGUCAUUGGAAACUGGUUGACUUGAGUGCAGAAGAGGAGAGUGGAAUUGCAUGUGUAGCGGUGAAAUGCGUAGAUAUAUGGAGGAACACCAGUGGCGAAGGCGACUCUCUGGUCUGUAACUGACGCUGAGGCUCGAAAGCGUGGGUAGCAAACAGG